rnacentral:rRNA from 1 species
AACGCGAAGAACCUUACCUGGGCUCGAAAUGUAGAGUGCGACAACAGAGAUGUUGUUUCUCGAAAGAGGCUCUAUAUAGGUGCUGCAUGGCUGUCGUCAGCUCGUGCCGUGAGGUGUUUGGUUAAGUCCAGCAACGAGCGCAACCCUUAUCAUUAGUUGCCAACGCGUAAAGGCGGGAACUCUAAUGAGACUGCCUGGGUUAACCAGGAGGAAGGUGAGGAUGACGUCAAGUCCGCAUGGCCUUUAUGUCCAGGGCUACACACGUGCUACAAUGGUCGGUACAGAAGGCAGCAAAACCGCAAGGCGAAGCAAAUCCUCUAAAACCGAUCUCAGUUCAGAUUGUAGUCUGCAACUCGGCUACAUGAAGUUGGAAUUGCUAGUAAUGGCGUGUCAGCAACAACGCCGUGAAUACGUUCCCGGGCCUUGUACACACCGCACGA